rnacentral:rRNA from 1 species
CCCUUAGAUGUUCUGGGCCGCACGCGCGCUACACUGACGAAGUCAGCGAGCAUGUCCUACGCCGACAGGUGCGGGGAAUCUUGUCAAACUUCGUCGUGAUGGGGAUUGAUUAUUGAAAUUCUUGAUCAUCAACGAGGAAUUCCUAGUAAGCGCAAGUCAGCAGCUUGCGUUGAUUACGUCCCUGCCCUUUGUACACACCGCCCGUCGCUACUACCGAUUGAAUGGUUUAGUGAGAUCUUCGGAUUGGCGCCACUGCGGCUCAGCAAUGGGCUCGGUGGAUGCCGAAAUGUUGAUCAAACUUGAUCAUUUAGAGGAAGUAAAAGUCGUAACA